rnacentral:rRNA from 1 species
CCUACGGGGUGCAGCAGUGGGGAAUAUUGGACAUUGGGCGAAAGCCUGAUCCAGCCAUGCCGCGUGUGUGAAGAAGGCCUUCGGGUUGUAAAGCACUUUCAGUGGGGAAGAAAGCCUUGGGGCUAAUACCCUCGAGGAAGGACAUCACCCACAGAAGAAGCACCGGCUAACUCCGUGCCAGCAGCCGCGGUAAUACGGAGGGUGCGAGCGUUAAUCGGAAUUACUGGGCGUAAAGCGCGCGUAGGCGGUCUGAUAAGCCGGUUGUGAAAGCCCCGGGCUCAACCUGGGAACGGCAUCCGGAACUGUCAGGCUAGAGUGCAGGAGAGGAAGGUAGAAUUCCCGGUGUAGCGGUGAAAUGCGUAGAGAUCGGGAGGAAUUCCAGUGGCGAAGGCGGCCUUCUGGACUGACACUGACGCUGAGGUGCGAAAGCGUGGGUAGCAAACAGGAUUAGAUACCCGAGUAGUC